GCUUUUUCCUGUGGCACUGGCAGAUGGCUGUGCUAUCUUCUGGCUGAGGAACAAGUUCCAUUCCAUCACGUACUUCGGGUUUGCUGGACUGGCGCUCGGCAUAUUUCUGAAACGUGGGUUUAAAGGGAACUGAAAGGUUUUAGAGCUGAGGAGAUAGAAACCUGGAGACAUUUAAGGACUUGGGCAAUGCUGGCAACAUAGUAGAAGAAGACUCAAAUGCAUACCUUAAAGAAAUCAAAGAAACCCAUCAACUUGGCUUUUCCAAGCUCCUUUUCUUUCUCUUGGAAAAAGAAAUAUCCUGUAAUUCCUGCAUCUAGUAGCUGAGGAUUUUCUUUGGACAGCUGUACCAACUGGAGCCUCUCCUCUCGGCUGUCUCUACCUCUGAAGAAAGCUCUCUCUGUUUUAUUGAUCCAGGAAGGCCCUACAAGUUUGAAGCCAUAAAAAAAUUAGGAUUAUGAAUUUGACAUUUUAAUAUGAGAGGAGAUCAUUUGUAACACCCCGCAUGGCUUCAAGCAUGGAGUGGGUGAUGUCAUACGUUGGAAGGACAACAUCUCUUGAAUCCAGAGAGCCACACCAUGAAAUGAUAGGGCUAACCAUUCAAAAACAGAGAAGAGAGAAGAAUGCCUGUCAUUGACAGGAUGGCUGUGAAUUUGUCACCUGUGAGGAUCCUGCAUGACAAAUUCACUUAACCAGGAGUCAGCUACCUCUGUCCAGAGAUGCAUGUAAAAUUCAGUGUUUGAGGCUGGGCGUGGUGGCUCACACCUGUAAUCCCAGCACUUUGGGAGGUUGAGGCGAGUGGAUCGUCAGGAGUUCAAGACCAGUCUGGCCAACAUGGUGAAACCCUGUCUCUACUAAACUUACAAAAAUUAGCUGGGCUGGUGGCAGGCACUUGUAAUCCCAGCUACUCAGGAGGCUGAGGCAGGAGAAUCGCUUGAACCUGGGAGGCAGAGGUUGCAGUGAGCCAAGAUCGCGCCACUGCACUCCAGCCUGGGCGACAGAGCAAGACUCUGUCUCCAAAAAAAUAGAAAAAGAAAUAAAAUAAAAUAAAAUGUAGUGUUAGAGAAGUGAAAAUUGUGUAGAGAGGUAAGAAUGAAUAGCUUCGAUAACCCUCUGCCAGCUGCCUAAGCAAGAGAAUCUACAAAGUUAGAACCAAACCCUUGUUUUCCUUCACUGUCCCCAUCUUUGCCUCAUGUGCCCUUGCCUCUGGAACCUGCCAGUCCAUUUCCAUCUCCACGGUCAAUGUCUCAGUUUAGACUCUCAUCAUUUCUUGCCUAGAUUGCUGCAAUAACUUCCUUACUAGGUGUUCUGAUUCUGGGCUCUCCAUACUGUAAUCUGCUCUCCACAAGGCUGCUCAGAUUUCCAAAACUAAAAUUAAUUCUAAAACUAAAAUUUCUAAAAUAACUUUGUUAAUGUCACUACCAAGCUUAACAGAACCUUAAGCCUAUGGCACAAGAUCUCAACUCUCUGGCUGGCAUUCAAGGCCUCACAAUCUUGUCCCAGCUUGGCUAUAAGCCUCAUCUUUCAUCUGCCCACCUACCAGGAAACCUUAGGCUACUCUCUGAAAAUGCCAUCCACCUCAACAUGUAAUUCCAUUCACUUGGAAUGUUUUACUUAUUUAACUUGGCAGUCUCCUUUCUCAUCCUCCAAGCCCAGAUCUAACACCACCUCUUCUAUGACUCACCCUCCUCAGGCACUUAAACCCUAGGUACUUAAUUCUCUUGAGGCCUAUCAUCAUAUUGGGAUAUAAUUAUUUGUUUGUAUUCACAUCCCACCCCCACUUCCAAACAACAAAAACAAAUCCCACUACAGUGGGCUACUCAGAGACUAGGACUGAGUCUCACUUAUCUUAGAUUUAUUUCUUCCCCAGCCACUGGGCAAAGAACAAAAGGAAAGGGCAAGAGAUGUGAAUAUUCACCCUCUUGCUUCCCUGUCAUUAUUAUUAUUAUUAUUAUUUUGAGACAGUGUUUCACUCUGCCACCCAGGCUGGAGUGCAGUGGCGUGAUCUUGGCUCACCACAACCUCUGCCUCUCAGGUUCAAGUGAUUCUUGUGCCUCAGCCUCCCAAGUAGCUGAGACUACAGGCACGCACCACCACACCCGGCUAAUUUUUGUAUUUUUAGUAGAGAUGGGAUUUCAUCUUGUUGGCCAGGCUGGUCUCAAACUCCUGACCUCAAAUGAUUCAUCUGCCUCAGCCUCCCAGAGUGCUAGGAUGACAGGUGUGAGCCACCGUGCCCAGCCUCCCUGCUAUUAUUUAUAAACUCUUUAAUAAACUCCACAUUGGAAGUGCUCACUGUGGAGUAGGGUUUCUCAAGCUCAUAUUAUUGACAUUUGGGGCUGGAUAAUUCUUUGCGAUGGGGUUGGGGGGUGCUAUCCUUUGCACUGUAGGAUGCUUACCCACUAGAUGAUAAUAGCAACCCCUGAGUUGUGACAACCAAAAAUGUCUCUAGACAUUGGCAAAUGUCCUCUGAGGGGCAAAAUCAUCCCUGGUUGAAAUCUAC
rnacentral:lncRNA from 1 species